ACCCCGGGAGGGGAGUGAAAUAGAUCCUGAAACCGUGUGCAUACAAACAGUAGGAGCGGACUUGUUCCGUGACUGCGUACCUUUUGUAUAAUGGGUCAGCGACUUACAUUCAGUGGCAAGGUUAACCGCAUAGGGAAGCCGUAGAGAAAUCGAGUCCGAACAGGGCGCCAGUCGCUGGGUGUAGACCCGAAACCAAGUGAUCUACUCAUGGCCAGGAUGAAGGUGCGGUAACACGCACUGGAGGUCCGAACCCACUAAUGUUGAAAAAUUAGGGGAUGAGCUGUGGGUAGGGGUGA
rnacentral:rRNA from 1 species